rnacentral:snRNA from 1 species
CUCAGGAUUCUUCUCCUUA